ensembl:lncRNA
CAACUUUGAGGCAGCGCAUUGUUUUGCAUCCUUUGGUGUGAUAUCCAUAUGAAAUUCAUGGCUUUUUCUUUGUUUGCAUAUUAAAGAUAGAUAGGACUUCCUCUAACACCACCAAAUGACUACUUCACACUGCUCAUUUGAGAAUUGUCAACUGAGUGGGGCGGGCUGUGAGUUUUCAUUUUAUAUAUCUAUAUGUCUAUAAGUAUAUAAAUACUAUAGUUAUAUAGAUAGAUAUGAAUUUCUAUAGACUUUUUCCAUUUUUUAAAUGUUCGUGUCACUUCUUCCUAAAAGAAAGAAAUUAAUUCUAGUCAUCCAGGCUUACCUGCUUGGUCUAGAAUGGAUUUUUCCCUGGAGCUGGAAGCCAGGAGGAAACUACCAGACUAAAACAUUGUCUACACCUCCAGAUGUUCCUCAUUUUAAACUUUCCACUGACAACUAGAGUAUUGAAUUUUUUUAAAGGGAACAUGUGAAUGAAUACACAGGACUUAUUAUAUCAGAGUAAUCGGUUGGUUGAUUGAUUGAUAUAUUCGGCUUCCUGCUGCUGGCAAUGCCACGAUUUAGAUUUAAUGAUGCUUCAGUGGAAAUCAGGAGGUAUUCUGACCUUCUGAGCAUCCAAAGGUAUUUUUCACUCCCAAGCAGUAGCAGGAUGAUGACAGGGCUGGAGGGCUAUGGAUUCCCAGCCCAUCCCUGUGAAGGCAUAGGCCACUCUUUCUUUAACUGAAGGACUGGAUGACUGUUCAUAAUACAUAAAGUUCUCUGUAAUUAAUUAAUUACAACUAAAUUAUUAUGCCCUCUUCUCACAGUCAAAAGGAAGUGGGUGGUUUUGUUUUUGUUGCUGUUUUUUUAGCUCUAUUUUCCCAUGCCGGAUGAGUUUUUAAAUGCCACAAGACAAUUUAAAAUAAACUUUGGGAAAAGGUGUAAGACAGUAGCCCCAUUACAUUUGUGAUACUGACAAGUAUCAACCCAGAAGCCCAUGAACUGUGUUUCCCUCCUUUGCAUUUAUCUGCGAGUAAUUCCACACGGGUUUGUAAGUAAGAAGGCAAAUUGAUUCAAAUGUUACAAAAGUAAAAGCUACUCCAAACCCUUCUUGGGGGGUUAGACAGGUUAAAUAUAUAAACAAACAAACAAACAAACACUGCUCAAAAAUUGGAGAAAAGCUCAAGAGGAAAAGCUAAGGACUGGUAGGAAAAAGCUUUACUCUUUCAUGCCAUUUUAUUCCUCUUUGAUUUUUACAUCAUUCAUUCAAUAGACAUCACCGUGUGACCUAUAAUUUUGCAAAUCUGUUACCUCUGACAUCAAGUGUAAUUAGCUUUUGGAGAGUGGGUUUUGUCCAUUAUUUUAUUAAUAAUAAUUAACAUCAAACACGGCUUCUCAUGCUAUUUCUACCUCACUUUGGUUUUGGGGUGUUCCUGAUAAUCGUGCACACCUGAGUUCACAGCUUCACCACUUGUCUAUUGCGUGAUUUUCUUUUUCCUUUAUAAUUUUCAAAAGAAAACCCAAAGCUCCAAGGUAACAUAUUACAUGAAGAUUUGGUUUUUGUCUUGCAUUUUUUUCCUUUAUGUGACGCUGGACCUUUUCUUUACCCAAGGACUUCUAAAACAAACUAAGAUUUAAAACAAGGGGUUACUUUACAUCCUACUAAGAAGUUUAAGUUUCAUUCUAAAAUCAGAGGUAAAUAGAGUGCAUAAUUUUGUUUUAAUCUUUUUGUUUUUUCUUUCUUUUAGACAUUAGUUCUGGAGUGAGUCUAUCAUAAUAUUUGAAUAAAAAUUGAGAGCUUUAUUGCUGCAUUUUAAGCAUAAUUUGGACAUUAUUUCGUGUUGUGUUGUGUUGUUUAUAACCACCAAGUAUUAAACUGUAAAUCAUAAUCAAUGUAACUGAAGCAUAAACAUCACAUGGCAUGUUUUGUCAUUGUUUUCAGGUACUGAGUUCUUACUUGAGUAUCAUAAUAUAUUGUGUUUUAACACCAACACUGUAACAUUUACUAAUUAUUUUUUUAAACUUCAGUUCUACUGCAUUUUCACAACAUAUCAGACUUCACCAAAUAUAUGCCUUACUAUUGUAUUAUAGUACUGCUUUACUGUGUAUCUCAAUAAAGCACGCAGUUAUGUUACAAAAAA